AGUACCUCAUGAUCUCACUCGUAACUGGAAUCUUAAAAAUUUUAUAUUAUAGAAGGUAGAGAGUAUAAUGGUAGUUACCAGUGGCAGAGGUGGUUGGCAGAGAUAGAGAGAUGGGAAGAUGUUGUUGGUCAAAGGAUACCUAAUAAGAUAGAGGAAAAUUUCAAGAGAUCUAUUGUGCAGCAAGUUGACUAUAGUUAAGGGUGAUAUAUUCUAUUCAUAAAAAAGAAAGUGGAUAUUUGUUAUGUGUUCUUACCACAGAAAUAAUAACUAUUUUUUAUAAAAGGAUAACUAGAGUUCUGUAUCAAGGAAACUCACAAGCUUCUGAGAAUAGAGACUUGACUUUCCAGAGUGGAACUUUGUAGAAAGAAGCUUGAUAUGGUAAUUGAAGGGCAAUGCUCCUAAAGAUAUGAACUAUUUGGGAGGCCAUUACAUUAAUGCCUUCAGCUUUCCGCACAGCCCAUAUUGCUUUGGUGGACGCUUUGAAAUGUCUGGUCGUUAUAACUCAGUCACUCAAGACACCUCACUUAAAAAUUCUAGUUAUGGAAUAAUUGUGAUGCCAUAGGAAGAAAAUUAAGCAAGCUGUCUACUCUUGGGAAAUGUUAACAAAUGCCUGUGCAUACUGUGAAGAGUCCACGGGGAAGAAAAUGAGCCACACAAGAUGGUCCCACCUAUAUUUAUUAUACACUGAUCACUAUGAAGACAUAAAGAUUUGUUAAAAGUGGCCUUUGAAGAGCAUGUAAUUGUGUCCAGAAUUGGCGGGUUCUUGGUCUCACUGACUUCAAGAAUGAAGCCGCAGACC